ACGUAGGAUGCGAGCGUUAUCCGAAUUUACUGGGUGUAAAGCGCGCGCAGGCGGUUUAGCAAGUCGUGCGUGAAAGCGCUCCGGCUCAACCGGGCGAGGACGUGCGGAACAGCUGUACUGGAGGCAGGUAGAGGCGUGUGGAAUUCCGGGUGUAGUGGUGAAAUGCGUAGAGAUCCGGAGGAACACCAGUGGCGAAGGCGACGCGCUGGGCCUGGCCUGACGCUAAGACGCGAAAGCAUGGGGAGCGAACGG
rnacentral:rRNA from 1 species